rnacentral:tRNA from 3 species
GCGCCCGUGGCCCAACUGGAUAAGGCGAUGGCCUCCGGAGCCGUAGAUUACAGGUUCAAAUCCUGUCGGGCGCACCA